CUCUAAGUUUUUUGCGGGUUAAACGGCUCGGUACUUGGGUAUUUGCUGGGUGGGUGGCGUCCAUCCAAGUGAUGUCUGCACCCCUCCUCCCGGCAUUUUUCUGGGGAGGGUACCUGUGCUUCACUGCCCAGUAUCUGAUCCAGAGCGAUUACUUUGAGAAAACAAGAGUGUUCCAGGCGGGCGUCAUCCAGAAUACAUUAGCAUGGAAUAAUAGCAUAGGACUUCAUUCCUGAGCUUUUUGGUUUAACGGAAUGGAGGAACGCAAAUAGGGAUAGUUGGGGGCAUUCGUAUUUAACUGUCAGAGGUGAAAUUCUUGGAUUUUUUAAAGACCAACUAUUGCGAAAGCAUCUGCCCAGGAUGUUUUUAUUAAUCAAGAACGAAAGCUAGGGGAUCGAAGACGAUCAGAUACCGUCCUAGUCUUAACCAUAAACUAUGCCGACUAGUCUUUGUGACUGUCAUACCUGACGCUUCCUGCAACUUGAGAGAAAUCAAAGUCUUCGGGUUCCGGGGGGAGUAGGUCGCAAGGCCGAACCUUAAAGGAUUGACCGGAGGGCACCACCAGGGGUGGAGCCUGGGGGUUAACUGGGCUCAACACGGGGAAACCCACCCGGUCCCGACCUAGGGAGGCUUUGAGACUGAUAACUGUCUCUUGUUCGGAAGGCGGGGUGCGUGGGCG
rnacentral:rRNA from 1 species